rnacentral:rRNA from 1 species
UGGGGAAUCUUCCGCAAUGGACGAAAGUCUGACGGAGCAACGCCGCGUGAGUGAUGACGGCCUUCGGGUUGUAAAGCUCUGUUAAUCGGGACGAAUGGUUCUUGUGCAAAUAGUGCGAGGAUUUGACGGUACCGGAAUAGAAAGCCACGGCUAACUACGUGCCAGCAGCCGCGGUAAUAUGUAGGUGGCAAGCGUUGUCCGGAAUUAUUGUGCGUAAAGCGCGCGCAGGCGGAUUGGUCAGUCUGUCUUAAAAGUUCGGGGCUUAACCCCGUGAUGGGAUGGAAACUGCCAAUCUAGAGUAUCGGAGAGGAAAGUGGAAUUCCUAGUGUAGCGGUGAAAUGCGUAGAUAUUAGGAAGAACACCAGUGGCGAAGGCGACUUUCUGGACGAAAACUGACGCUGAGGCGCGAAAGCCAGGGGAGCGAACGGG